rnacentral:rRNA from 1 species
CGCGGGGUCGACGAGUGGCUGAUGUCUGAUUAGCUAGUUGGUAAGGUAAAAGCUUACCAAGGCGACGAUCAGUAGCUGGUCUGAGAGGACGAUCAGCCACACUGGGACUGAGACACGGCCCAGACUCCUACGGGAGGCAGCAGUGGGGAAUUUUGGACAAUGGGCGAAAGCCUGAUCCAGCCAUGCCGCGUGAGUGAAGAAGGCCUUCGGGUUGUAAAGCUCUUUCGGUCGAGAAGAAAUGUCUAUGACUAAUACUUAUAGAAAAUGACGGUAUCGACAUAAGAAGCACCGGCUAACUACGUGCCAGCAGCCGCGGUAAUACGUAGGGUGCAAGCGUUAAUCGGAAUUAUUGGGCGUAAAGGGUGCGCAGGCUGUGUUGUAAGUCAGAUGUGAAAUCCCCGGGCUUAACCUGGGAAUUGCGUUUGAACUA